UUUUAAAAUGCAAAGACCCUAUGUCUCACUUUUAGAAAUUCUGGCUAUCUAUUAUUUUUAUCAUAAAGGCAAGCUGUUGUAAGUUUUAAGGAGAGUGUGUGUGUGUGUACUCGCUGAUUAUGUGGAUAACAGAUUGAAGUUAGACCAUUUAGAAAAGCAUUAGGCAUACAGAGAGGAAUAGGAAUAAGAUUGGGUAUUUUGCAAAAACAUCAUAUUCCUUUAUGUGGUAGGGCUGGGAAUCACUAUUUUAAAAAACAGUCCUUAAUUUCAGCCUCACAUUACCUGGGGGAGCUUUAAAAACUGUUCACUUCAUUCCCAGAAUAGCCAACUUAAUUGAUCAGGGUGGCCUAUGGAUGGGAGCCUUCAAAGCUUCUGCAGUGUAAACCAGAGCUGAGAGCUGCUGAGCUCCCACAGGAAACCUGAACUCCAUGGACCAAAUGGAGGUCCCUUGAGUACACAGCAGUCCCUUGAGGUGGUUUGUAUUGUGUUGUGGACACAGGAACUUGUUAGACAUGCACGUGGUUGGGAUUUUAGGAAGGUUUCCUGGGUGAUUCUUGUGUGCUUUUAAGGACUGUGAAGCAAUGUUUCCCGAGCAGUAAUUCUUGAGGUGAUUCUUUGGCACCUCAGGUCAGCAGGGGCCUUGUCAGAACUUGACAUUCACCAGCCACUGAAUCAGAGGCCCUAGGAAAGUGCCAUCCAGGUGAUACUGGCUACAUUAGCUGGACAUGGCAGCUAGUGCCAGAAAUCCUAGUACUUCAGUCUGAGGCAGGGAGUUUGCCACGAGUUCAAGACAAGCUGGGCUACACAGGGAGUUUCAAGUCAACCUGGGCUACAGAGAAAGAUUCUAUAUCAAAACAGACAAAAAUAAACAGCACAGGCUGUGUGCAUGUGUGUGACUCAGUUGUCAAGUGACUGUUUUGAAAUCAUUAAGACCUAAGAAUCCAUAUUUAAAAAAUUAAAAAGGCUGUUGGCAUGUCUGUAAUUCAGCACUGGGGAGACAGAGAUAGGAAGGUCCCUGGAGCAUGCAGGGGAGACAGUCUAGCAGACAGGGCUCUAGUCGGAUUGUUAAGCUCCAGGUUCAGUGAGAGACCCUGGCUCAAAACAAAACCAAAACCAAAAACAAGCCCAAAACCAAAACCAAAAACAACCCCAAAACCAAAACCAAAAACUGCAAAUAAAAACCAAAAGAAAACAAACAAAAAAAGUGAAGAAUGAAGAAAUCACACUAUAUCAACUGCCGAGCUGUACACACAUGUGAAUUCACACAUACAUACACACAUACUUCUCACAUGCAUGCACGCACACGUGUAUGCACACAUGAGUAUGCCAUACCCCUUACAUGCAUGCACACACAUGUGCAUUCACACACAUGUGCAUGCAUACCUCUCACAUACAUGCACACACAUGUGAAAAAAGAACAGCAGCUUGCAGAUUGCAGGGAGUGUGUUUUGUCUCCAGGAGUCUCUCUCUGAUCAGCAUGUUCAAAUUCAUCACUACUGCUGGAAAAAUAACUGCCGACGGUCAGCAGAAAAGUAAGACCAAUUAAUUAGGCAUGUGGUUGAGCAACUGCGCACCGAGGCAGUGUGAGGGGAUGCUUGGUGGGGUUCCCUGGUCGAAAAUAACCUACCUCACUGUAGACCUCCCCUCCAUCACAACUUCAUCCUUUCCCACCUUCCUAUUUCCAAACUCCAGUUAACUUCUAGUUAUUUUUUUUUUUUCAGGUGUACUCAACAAACCUGAGGCAGGAUCAUCUGGGAGAUCCUACACCCAUUCUGAAACCUACUGAAUCAGGUCCCAGGUGAAUCCUCUUUAGCCUCUAUGAUGCCCUUCAAGGUCUGAGAUCCCCUGGGGUAAAGUUAGGGAAAAUGGAUGGGACAGUAACUUGACCAAAAAAAGUUAAAUUAAAAAUUUUAACUUUCUAGAUCAACCGGACAGUCACACUUGUUUGGGGUAUGUGGUCCUGGUAGCUUCUUGUACAUAUGUAACAACUCCCAUCAGCGCAUAGGAGCAUGUUGAGAGACCGACUGAGUCCAGUCCGUGGCACCUGUUUGCUUUUAUUCUGACUGUUCCAGACUCAAGAUUACUUCUCAUGCUUUGUGUAAGUUGAUAAAUAACUGUUGUAUUAAAUACUUAAUCUCAACUUGGGACUUCUACCCUGACUAAAUAAUUUUAUUCCCAGAUAAAAGACACAAAACCUUUAUAUUUAGGAUAAGCCUUUAAAGCACUAGAGCUAGGCAGAUGUCUACCUUCUAAGCUAUUAUGUCUGCUUCUCUAUCAAUAACCCCGGGAUGGCUUGUCUUGUUUCACCUGGCCUGCUUCUACCCCCACAGGCCAGCUCUCAUGACCCCUUACUCCAUGGAAUCUUCUCUCUCUCUCUCCACUCUUCUUUUCUCACCUCUUCUUGGUUUU
rnacentral:lncRNA from 1 species